GAUAAACGCUGGCGGCGUGCCUAAUGCAUGCAAGUCGCACGGGCUCUCGCAAGAGACGACCGUGGCGGACGGGUGAGGAACACGUGGCUAACCUGCCCUCUAGACGGGGACAACGGCUGGAAACGGCCUGUAAUACCCGAUACGCUCGUGAGUGGGGACACUCAUGAGGAAACGGAGUAAUCCGCUGGAGGAGGGGGCUGCGGCCGAUUAGCUAGUUGGUGUGGUAAAGGCGCACCAAGGCGACGAUCGGUAGCUGGUCUGAGAGGAUGAGCAGCCACACGGGGACUGAGACACGGCCCCGACUCCUACGGGAGGCAGCAGCAAGGAAUUUUCCGCAAUGGGCGCAAGCCUGACGGAGCAACGCCGCGUGCGGGAGGACGCUUUUCGGAGUGUAAACCGCUUUCUGGGGACGAAGCAAGUGACGGUACCCUGGGAAGAAGGUCCGCUAACUACGUGCCAGCAGCCGCAGUAAU
rnacentral:rRNA from 1 species